GGAGGGUGCAAGCGUUGUCCGGAUUUAUUGGGUUUAAAGGGUGCGUAGACGGCCUGUUAAGUCAGCGGUGAAAUCCCAGGGCUCAACCCUGGAACUGCCGUUGAUACUGGCAGGCUUGAGUCCGGUCGAGGCGGGCGGAACUGGUGGUGUAGCGGUGAAAUGCAUAGAUACCACCAAGAACCCCGAUUGCGAAGGCAGCUCGCUGGGCCUGUGACUGACGCUGAGGCACGAAAGCGUGGGGAGCGAACAGGAUUAGAUACCCUGGUAGUCCACGCCGUAAACGAUGAUUACUCGAUGUUUGCGAUAUACGGCAAGCGUCCAAGCGAAAGCGUUAAGUAAUCCACCUGGGGAGUACGCCCGCAAGGGUG
rnacentral:rRNA from 1 species